CAAAUACUUCACAUUUGAAAUGUAUGGGUAAUGAAUCCACAUACAGCUAAACAUUUGUGGAAAGGAAUCACUAACGUGUGCCUUCUCUAUAGCUGAAUGAUGGACUUCAAGGUCGUUUAGGUCUCUCCAUGUGACAGGAACUCUUCUGUUGCAUCAUUAUAAAGCUAUAACACAGAUCAUCACAAUUGAUACACAAAGAGAAUAGGCAGCCUGUUUAGGUGGCAAGCAAGAACCCAGACCCUGUGACAGGAUGGACUGAAGGGAGCCAGCGUGAGGAAUCCCACCUGUGACAAGGUCAUGCGGCAGAGAUCUGAUGGGCAAGGGACUGAACACAGCUGCUGGCACCCUCAUGCUUUCCUGGAUGUUGCCGAUAUUUCUGUUUACUAAGUCAGCAUCUAAACCCAGGUGGACACAGUUGAAGGCGGGGCCCCCUUAGUCCAAAGCCCCCAGCUCACUCAUCAUGGAGAACUGAAAAUUCAUCCUGCAGCACUUCCUACCCUAGGGAGAGCUCUCUGUCCUCUGUUCCUUUGAUCUUCAUGAUUCACUUGAUCCAAUCAAACACUAGUUCAUUCUCACGGCCUCUCUGUUCAGUGAACACGAAGUGAACAUUAACUUGUCUUCUCUCUGGAUUUCUUUUAUAUCAUUGGGAUCAAUGAUGAGAUGCCC
ensembl:lncRNA